UACGAAGGGGGCUAGCGUUGUUCGGAAUUACUGGGCGUAAAGCGCACGUAGGCGGAUAUUUAAGUCAGGGGUGAAAUCCCAGAGCUCAACUCUGGAACUGCCUUUGAUACUGGGGAUCUCGAGUCCGGAAGAGGUUGGUGGAACUGCGAGUGUAGAGGUGAAAUUCGUAGAUAUUCGCAAGAACACCAGUGGCGAAGGCGGCCAACUGGUCCGGAACUGACGCUGAGGUGCGAAAGCGUGGGGAGCAAACAGG
rnacentral:rRNA from 1 species